AUCGCUUCUCGGCCUUUUGGCUAAGAUCAAAGUGUAGUAUCUGUUCUUAUCAGCUUAAUAUCUGAUACGACCGGCAUUGCCGGUCCAGAAUAUUAAACUGAUUUUUGGAAAUUGUCGGGAUGCUAGGAGCUUGCUCCACUCCUGAUACGGGUUGGCCUGGUAUUGCAGUACCGCCAGGAUCGGCCCACAGAAU